rnacentral:lncRNA from 1 species
AUCACGCCCCAACCCUAGGAACCCCCCUAGGUCAGGCCUGUGCUCUAGGAUAUCAAGACUUCCCUCACACAACCAACACACAUGUCUUUUCUGCGCACUUUGUCCUCACUCAUGCGCACCCGAGAAAUGACUUCCCGGUCGGUCACCCAUCCCAAGAUUACUCCAGGCCAAGCACACUUAACCUUGGAGUUCUCUCGAGAUAAGCUUCCGGAAAAGAAGUUGCAACUUGUUGGUAUGAGUAUCUAUCAAAUCCUAUUAAGGCUUGGGCUGGGAUGUUACAUACACCCACCCUCAAAGGACCCGACGUCCCCGUCGGUCCAACAUACCCACACUUGGGCAAACAACCAGGAACGUUCCCCAAGACUUCCCUUUCCCUCACACAACCAACACACAUGUCUUUUCUGCGCACUUUGUCCUCACUCAUGCGCACCCGAGAAAUGACUUCCCGGUCGGUCACCCAUCCCAAGAUUACUCCAGGCCAAGCACACUUAACCUUGGAGUUCUCUCGAGAUAAGCUUCCGGAAAAGAAGUUGCAACUUGUUGGUAUGAGUAUCUAUCAAAUCCUAUUAAGGCUUGGGCUGGGAUGUUACAUCCACCCCCCCUCAAAGGACCCGACGUCCCCGUCGGUCCAACAUACCCACACUUGGGCAAACAACCAGGAACGUUCCCCUCUUGGCCACGUCCGUGUGUCCUGGUCCGACCCAUGUGCCAUGCCGUGUGUGAUGUCCGGCCU